UGGGGAAUCUUGGUCAAUGGGCGAAAGCCUGAACCUGCGACGCCGCGUGAGUGAUGAAGGUCGUAAGAUCGUAAAACUCUUUUCAGGGAUCUUAAAGCCUGUCUGUCAACACCAGGCAGGUCUGACUCUCCCUGGAAGAAGCCCCAGCCAACUACGUGCCAGCAGCUGCGGUAAUACGUAGGGGGCGAGCGUUAUUCGGAAUUACUGGGUGUAAAGGGCAGGUAGGCGGAUAUAUAAGUUUUGUGUUAAAGGCAUCGGCUUAACCGGUGUAAGGCAUAGGAUACUGUAUAUCUGGAAUGCGGUUGAGGAAGACAGAAUUCCUGGUGUAGCGGUGGAAUGCGCAGAGAUCAGGAGGAAUACCAAAGGCGAAGGCAGUCUUCUAAGCCGAUAUUGACGCUAAACUGCGAAGGGGUGGGUAUCAAACA
rnacentral:rRNA from 1 species